rnacentral:snRNA from 1 species
AUGGCUUCCACAACACAUAUACUAAAAUUGGAACGACACAGAGAAUAUUAGCAUGACCCCUGCACAAGAAUGACACACAAAUUUGUGAAGUGUUCUAUAUUUUU